CGUGCGCAUGUGCCGAAUCCUGCAAGGGAGCCGGGGAACCACCGUCUUGGGGUGAAUCGCACGGAUGCCGCCGUGGAGACACGGUCGGCUACGCGCGUAGGAGACCUUCCUCUCCGAACCCGUCAGCUAACCCGGCAGGCGAGACGGAAGGAAAGG
rnacentral:sRNA from 1 species